rnacentral:rRNA from 1 species
AGACUUUGAUCCUGGCUCAGGACGAACGCUGGCGGCGUGCUUAACACAUGCAAGUCGAACGGUCUACCUCGACAGAAACCUUCGGGUUGAAGACGAGAUCUAGAUAGUGGCGGACGGGUGAGUAACACGUGAAUAAUCUAUCCUCAAGUUUGGGAUAACCUGGCGAAAGUCGGGCUAAUCCGAGGUAAGCUGAGAGUGUGGCAUCACACAAUCAGAAAAGGUGGCAUUGCCAUCGUUUGAGGAGGAGUUCGCCGGUAGAUUAGCUAGCUGGUGAGGUAACGGCUCACCAGGGCAACAAUCUAUAGCUGGUCUGAGAGGACGAUCAGUCACACUGGAACUGAGACACGGUCCAUGACUCCUACGGGAGUGCACGCAAGUGGGGAAUCUUCCACAAUGGGCGCACAAGCCUGAUGGAUGCAACGCCGUGUGAAUGAAGAAGGCCUUAGGGUCGCUAGCAUGUUCUGUACUUAGGGAAGAACC